rnacentral:rRNA from 1 species
UCCCGCCGGACCUGACUGCUAUCGGAUUGAUACUAAGCCAUGCGAGUCAUUGUAGUAAUACAAGGCAGACGGCUCAGUAACGCGUAGUCAAUCUACCCUAUGGACGAGGAUAACCUCGGGAAACUGAGAAUAAUACUCGAUAGAACACUAUGCCUGGAAUGGUUUGUGUUUGAAAUGAUUUAUCGCCGUAGGAUGGGACUGCGGCCUAUCAGUUUGUUGGUGAGGUAAUGGCCCACCAAGACUAUUACAGGUACGGGCUCUGAGAGGAGUGGCCCGGAGAUGGGUACUGAGACACGGACCCAGGCCCUAUGGGGCGCAGCAGGCGAGAAAACUUUGCAAUGUGCGAAAGCACGACAAGGUUAAUCCGAGUGGUUUCUGCUAAAGAAACCUUUUGUUAGUCCUAGAAACACUGAUGAAUAAGGGGUGGGCAAGUUCUGGUGUCAGCCGCCGCGGUAAAACCAGCACCUCAAGUGGUCAGGAUGAUUAUUGGGCCUAAAGCAUCCGUAGCCGGCUAUGUAAGUUUUCGGUUAAAUCUGUGCGCUUAACGUACAGGCUGCCGGGAAUACUGCAUGGCUAGGAAGUGGGAGAGGUAGACGGUACUCGGUAGGAAGGGGUAAAAUCCUUUGAUCUAUUGAUGACCACCUGUGGCGA